UCAAGUGAAGAAGCGCAUACGGUGGAUGCCUUGGCAGUCAGAGGCGAUGAAAGACGUGGUAGCCUGCGAAAAGCUUCGGGGAGUCGGCAAACAGACUGUGAUCCGGAGAUGUCUGAAUGGGGGAACCCAGCCAUCAUAAGAUGGUUAUCUUGUACUGAAUACAUAGGUGCAAGAGGCGAACCAGGGGAACUGAAACAUCUAAGUACCCUGAGGAAAAGAAAUCAACCGAGAUUCCCUUAGUAGUGGCGAGCGAACGGGGACCAGCCCUUAAGUUGUAUUGAGAUUAGCGGAACGUUCUGGAAAGGACGGCCAUAGUGGGUGAUAGCCCUGUACGCGAAAAUCCCUUUGCAAUGAAAUCGAGUAGGACGGGGCACGAGAAACCUUGUCUGAAUAUGGGGGGACCAUCCUCCAAGGCUAAAUACUACUGACUGACCGAUAGUGAACCAGUACCGUGAGGGAAAGGCGAAAAGAACCGCGGAGAGCGGAGUGAAAUAGAUCCUGAAACCGUAUGCGUACAAGCAGUGGGAGCCCACUUUGUUGGGUGACUGCGUACCUUUUGUAUAAUGGGUCAGCGACUUAUUUUCAGUGGCGAGCUUAACCGAAUAGGGGAGGCGUAGCGAAAGCGAGUCUUAAUAGGGCGUCUAGUCGCUGGGAAUAGACCCGAAACCGGGCGAUCUAUCCAUGGGCAGGUUGAAGGUUGGGUAACACUAACUGGAGGACCGAACCGACUACCGUUGAAAAGUUAGCGGAUGACCUGUGGAUCGGAGUGAAAGGCUAAUCAAGCUCGGAGAUAGCUGGUUCUCCUCGAAAGCUAUUUAGGUAGCGCCUCAUGUAUCACUGUAGGGGGUAGAGCACUGUUUCGGCUAGGGGGUCAUCCCGACUUACCAAACCGAUGCAAACUCCGAAUACCUACAAGUGCCGAGCAUGGGAGACACACGGCGGGUGCUAACGUCCGUCGUGAAAAGGGAAACAACCCAGACCGUCAGCUAAGGUCCCAAAGUCAUGGUUAAGUGGGAAACGAUGUGGGAAGGCUUAGACAGCUAGGAGGUUGGCUUAGAAGCAGCCACCCUUUAAAGAAAGCGUAAUAGCUCACUAGUCGAGUCGGCCUGCGCGGAAGAUGUAACGGGGCUCAAACCAUGCACCGAAGCUACGGGUAUCAUCUUUUGAUGAUGCGGUAGAGGAGCGUUCUGUAAGCCUGUGAAGGUGAGUUGAGAAGCUUGCUGGAGGUAUCAGAAGUGCGAAUGCUGACAUGAGUAACGACAAUGGGUGUGAAAAACACCCACGCCGAAAGACCAAGGUUUCCUGCGCAACGUUAAUCGACGCAGGGUUAGUCGGUCCCUAAGGCGAGGCUGAAAAGCGUAGUCGAUGGAAAACAGGUUAAUAUUCCUGUACUUCUGGUUAUUGCGAUGGAGGGACGGAGAAGGCUAGGCCAGCCUGGCGUUGGUUGUCCAGGUUUAAGGUGGUAGGCUGAGAUCUUAGGUAAAUCCGGGAUCUCAAGGCCGAGAGCUGAUGACGAGUGUUCUUUAGAACACGAAGUGGUUGAUGCCAUGCUUCCAAGAAAAGCUUCUAAGCUUCAGGUAACCAGGAACCGUACCCCAAACCGACACAGGUGGUUGGGUAGAGAAUACCAAGGCGCUUGAGAGAACUCGGGUGAAGGAACUAGGCAAAAUGGCACCGUAACUUCGGGAGAAGGUGCGCCGGUGAGGGUGAAGCAUUUACUGCGUAAGCCCACGCCGGUCGAAGAUACCAGGCCGCUGCGACUGUUUAUUAAAAACACAGCACUCUGCAAACACGAAAGUGGACGUAUAGGGUGUGACGCCUGCCCGGUGCCGGAAGGUUAAUUGAUGGGGUUAGCGCAAGCGAAGCUCUUGAUCGAAGCCCCGGUAAACGGCGGCCGUAACUAUAACGGUCCUAAGGUAGCGAAAUUCCUUGUCGGGUAAGUUCCGACCUGCACGAAUGGCGUAACGAUGGCGGCGCUGUCUCCACCCGAGACUCAGUGAAAUUGAAAUCGCUGUGAAGAUGCAGUGUAUCCGCGGCUAGACGGAAAGACCCCGUGAACCUUUACUAUAGCUUUGCACUGGACUUUGAAUUUGCUUGUGUAGGAUAGGUGGGAGGCUUUGAAGCGUGGACGCCAGUCUGCGUGGAGCCAACCUUGAAAUACCACCCUGGCAACUUUGAGGUUCUAACUCAGGUCCGUUAUCCGGAUCGAGGACAGUGUAUGGUGGGUAGUUUGACUGGGGCGGUCUCCUCCUAAAGAGUAACGGAGGAGUACGAAGGUGCGCUCAGACCGGUCGGAAAUCGGUCGUAGAGUAUAAAGGCAAAAGCGCGCUUGACUGCGAGACAGACACGUCGAGCAGGUACGAAAGUAGGUCUUAGUGAUCCGGUGGUUCUGUAUGGAAGGGCCAUCGCUCAACGGAUAAAAGGUACUCCGGGGAUAACAGGCUGAUACCGCCCAAGAGUUCAUAUCGACGGCGGUGUUUGGCACCUCGAUGUCGGCUCAUCACAUCCUGGGGCUGAAGCCGGUCCCAAGGGUAUGGCUGUUCGCCAUUUAAAGUGGUACGCGAGCUGGGUUUAGAACGUCGUGAGACAGUUCGGUCCCUAUCUGCCGUGGACGUUUGAGAUUUGAGAGGGGCUGCUCCUAGUACGAGAGGACCGGAGUGGACGAACCUCUGGUGUUCCGGUUGUCACGCCAGUGGCAUUGCCGGGUAGCUAUGUUCGGAAAAGAUAACCGCUGAAAGCAUCUAAGCGGGAAACUUGCCUCAAGAUGAGAUCUCACUGGAACCUUGAGUUCCCUAA
rnacentral:rRNA from 1 species